CCUACGGGAGGCAGCAGUGGGGAAUAUUGCACAAUGGGGGAAACCCUGAUGCAGCAACGCCGCGUGAGUGAAGAAGUAUUUCGGUAUGUAAAGCUCUAUCAGCAGGGAAGAAGAAAGACGGUACCUGACUAAGAAGCCCCGGCUAACUACGUGCCAGCAGCCGCGGUAAUACGUAGGGGGCAAGCGUUAUCCGGAUUUACUGGGUGUAAAGGGAGCGUAGACGGCUGUGCAAGUCUGAAGUGAAAGCCCGGGGCUCAACCGCUGAACUGCUUUGGAAACUGGAUAGCUUGAGUACUGGAGAGGCAGGCGGAAUUCCUGGUGUAGCGGUGAAAUGCGUAGAUAUUGGGAGGAACACCAGUGGCGAAGGCGGCAUGCUGGACAGAAACUGACGUUGAGGCUCGAAAGCGUGGGGAGCAAACAGGAUUAGAUACCCUUGUAGUC
rnacentral:rRNA from 1 species